GUCUCUGUGGUCUAGUGGUUAAGGCACCAGCGUUCCAAGCUGGGGGCCCGGGUUCGAUUCUCGGCAGAGACA
rnacentral:tRNA from 1 species